UCUGACUNGAGUGCAGAAGGGGAGAGUGGAAUUCCAUGUGUAGCGGUGAAAUGCGUAGAUAUAUGGAGGAACACCAGUGGCGAAAGCGGCUCUCUGGUCUGUCACUGACGCUGAGGCUCGAAAGCGUGGGUAGCGAACAGGAUUAGAUACCNUGGUAGUCCACGCCGUAAACGAUGAGUGCUAGGUGUUAGGCCCUUUCCGGGGCUUAGUGCCGGAGCUAACGCAAUAAGCACUCCGCCUGGGGAGUACGACCGCAAGGUUGAAACUCAAAGGAAUUGACGGGGGCCCGCACAAGCGGUGGAGCAUGUGGUUUAAUUCGAAGCAACGCGAAGAACCUUACCAGGUCUUGACAUCCCGAUGCUAUUCUUAGAGAUAGGAAGUUACUUCGGUACAUCGGAGACAGGUGGUGCAUGGUUGUCGUCAGCUCGUGUCGUGAGAUGUUGGGUUAAGUCCCGCAACGAGCGCAACCCUUAUUGUUAGUUGCCAUCAUUAAGUUGGGCACUCUAGCGAGACUGCCGGUAAUAAACCGGAGGAAGGUGGGGAUGACGUCAAAUCAUCAUGCCCCUUAUGACCUGGGCUACACACGUGCUACAAUGGUCGGUACAACGAGUUGCGAGCCGGUGACGGCAAGCUAAUCUCUGAAAGCCGAUCUCAGUUCGGAUUGGAGGCUGCAACUCGCCUCCAUGAAGUCGGAAUCGCUAGUAAUCGCGGAUCAGCACGCCGCGGUGAAUACGUUCCCGGGCCUUGUACACACCGCCCGUCACACCACGAGAGUUUGUAACACCCGAAGUCGGUGAGGUAACCUUUUAGGGGCCA
rnacentral:rRNA from 1 species